GGUCAUUGUGGAGGCUGGAAUUCUGUUCUGACCACACAAUGGUCCAAAUUUCCUUCUCAACCCACCUUGUAAGCAACAUAGCACAUCUCAGUGUUUCAUUUCAACAUUAUAAGUGAAUAGCAGAUGGGGAUCAGUGGAAAUGCAAUUAGUUUUUGUUUUCAUUUAGUUGGCUGCAUUGCAAGGACAUCACCAGCAGCGAUCAUCCAAAGAACCUUGUAGGGUUCUGUAGAUGUCUAUCAUGAUGCAUUCAGUUUACAGCAAUGGUUCUCAACCUGUGAGUCCCCAGGUUGAGAACCACUGAGUUACAGGAACAUAACGGAUGUUACCACUAACUCCACUACUCUUGAUAAUACAUAAAUGGCUAUUUUGGGGGAACUGUGCUGUUUACAAGCUGCCCUUUGGAGUGGUAGCAUUGUGAAUGAUAACUGGCAAAUAGAGGGAGAAAACAUGGAGGCAGACUUUGUAUUUUCAGGUACAGACAUUACUGCAGACACAGACUGCAGCCAGAAAUCAGAAGAUGUUUACUUCUUGGGAGGAAAGCAAUGACCAAUCUCGAUAAAAUAGUGAAGAGUAGAGACAUCAUAUUGGCAACGAAGCUCCGCAUAGUCAAAGCAAUGGCAUUCCCAGUAGUAACCUAUGGACAUGAGAGCUGGACCAUAAGGAAAGCUGAGCGAAGGAAGAUAGAUGCUUUUGAACUGUGGUGCUGGAGGAAAAUUCUGAGAGUGCCUUGGAUUGUGAGAAGAUCCAACCAGCCCAUACUUCAGGAAAUAAAGCCAGACUUCUCAUUGGAGGGAAGGAUAUUAGAGGCAAAGAUGAAGUACUUUAGCCACAUCAUGAGAAGAAAGGUAAAAUGGAAGGAAAAAGAAA